rnacentral:lncRNA from 1 species
GUUUGCUGUUCGGUGCUGCGGGGUCCCGCUUCCCCACUUUGCUCCUUGGCUUUCCUGGGGGAAAGCUGUAUCCCCUCGCUUGGAAAUGCAGCUCUCCCUCCCCAGGCAUUCAGCCACAAAAGCAGACAUCUGCUUCCCCCCAGUGCACGGCUAUCACCUGCCCGGCCAGCACAGACCUACCACGCUUCAAAAACUACACUGCUCUGGUGGUAGAUAUCAUCGGCUGGAACUGAAACUCGAAUGUUAAGUGCCAGAAUAUGAGAAGUUGCCACCUGAGAGCAUGGCUAACACAGAGCAGUGCAGGAAGCCCGUGUCUGAGCAGAGGGCCGCAGUGUGCCCGGCUUCACCAGAAGGUGAUGUGAGAAUAGAUGAGAAAUACAAACAUUGACUCACUGCAUCGUACAAGGCAGGGCUCCGAGGGGUCAGAGCAUCCCCUCUCAUCUCCAAGCCAUAACUUAAGAAACAAAAUACAUACAUCAAGGCCAUGGAAACAAACCUAAAAUUGCUUUAAGGACUGGGAGUUUCAGCUUGUUACGUGUGGGCUGAUCCGUGGUUCCUACUUUCAGAUCCAAGAACCUGCUAUAGGCCCAAAGGAAAGGGCCUUUGGUCAGGCACAGUCCUGCAGUCAGACACUGAAAUUACCUGCUCAGAUGGCUGCCUUAAGGGGGUAAAGCUGCAUCAUCUGGGGAAUGUGAAGCUCCACCCAGCUAAGGAAUACUCUACAACCAGGACAGCUUUUUGCUGGCAUUAAGGGGAAACGUAUUAUACCUGCAUGGCUGGGGGGUCGUUAGGGGGUGCUUUGGCACGUGAUAAUCCAGAAAAAAAAAAAAAAAAGAAAAAAGCACUUUGCAGAGUUGUUUUCAACAAAGCAAGGCCAUGUAGCCUCAAGACUAGCAGGAGCAGAGAUAGUUGUGCAAACAGAAGGGUACCUGCUGCUUGUUUUAAAGCAGUCCUGGAUACAGGGUUUAUUCCUGCGAGUCUUUCACUGCGCCGCGCUGCCACUGAACUAAGUGUUGUUGCAUUACAAAGAAACAGCAAGAUCUAUUUUAAUUAUAAAACACCGAUUGUAAAAAGCUAGAUUUAAGAAAUGUUGGCACGGAGCUAUCACUGAAUAUGACUAUAAAGCAAAAAAAAAAAAUUAAUUUGUACUUCAAAAAAAAUAACUACAACCUUGCUAAAAUUUCUGCAGUUUGAAUGCAAGGAGCCCAGGCUGCUCCAAUUAAAUCCAUAAACAAAGCGGGGUUGGGAGAAGAAAGCCAUGAUCCACCUUACAGUGCUGCUGUGUGCAGUUAAAGGACAUCUGGCCGCUGUGACAGCAUGUGGUCCCCAAGUCCAACCCCAACCCCAACCCCAACCCCAACCCACCCCACCGUGCCCACAUCCCUCAGUGCCACAUCCCCACAGCUCUGAACACCUCCAUGGACGGUGACCCCCCCACCCCUGGGCAGCACCACUCCUUCUGAGAAGAAAUUUUUCCUAAUGCCCAACCUGAACCUCCCCUGGAGCAACUUCAGGCAUUCCCUCUCAUCUCAUCUGUGAAAAAAAUCACAAGCUGUAAAUAAAACCAAGGAUACUCACAUUCAUCAGCCCCACUUGUACCCAGGAUGAUUUUCAAAGACUUUCCCAGCUAUCCGUUGUCAUUGCUGCUUUUCUCUAUGCAAAAUCCUCCUGCUGGCCACAAAGGGAAAAGGUGCGACUGGACAAAUCCCUUCCCUUUGCAAAGACCCGCUGCACUUCUGGCCCAAUGAUGAACACUUUAGAAACUUCUGGAGUCCCAAACCCAAAGAAUUGGCAGCCAUCAUUAUGUGCCCUUCAGCUGUCCCAAGGAACAAUUGUCUGUCAGUACUAUCUGCCAACAGGUAGGUUUAUGCAUUCCCUGCGUGGGAGAAAGCACUGUGCUUUGCCAGACAAAAUGCAAUGAGGACAGAGUCUACUGAGGAUGGACCAAGAAAUAUGCUAUGUGGCACAGAUAUCGUAAGAACAGCCUCACACACUCCGCAAUCAGUACUUCACAUUGGCCUCUCUGAGGUGUAAAUGGCAAUACAAGGUGUUAGGCUACAACAAACGUGAAAGCAUCUGCCAGGACUCCGCUCUCUCAAAUGGGGUUUCAUAAAUGACCAGCUUCCAUGGAGGCUGUUGGGUUGGUUUGAAGUUUUGGUUGUUCGUUUCUUGUUUGGUUGGUUGGUUUUCCUCAUUUUGUGCAUUUUCAUUACUUUCUUAUUCCCCAAAAGUCAUGAAGAGUUACAAAACAGAAGAGAAGAACUAAAGGGUAUUUAUUGGUGUUGGGGAGAGAAGAUCAGUUGGCAUGCCUAAUAGAAGACUUCUAUUUUUGCCUACUGUGGUGGAGGUUCUAUCAACAGCACACAUGCUUUUCAAGUGCUAGCCAAAAUAAUUAUUCUCUCCUUCUGUGGGGGGAAAAAAAUCCACUAAAUCAUGAAUAUUCAGCAGGUUGAUUAACGACAUAGUAAUCCUUUAGCUAAAAUCUCUGCGCCUUAAAAUACCAUGAAUGCUAGCUGCCAGUUACAUGAAUUAAAAGCAUAAAAAUAACUUGAUUUCCAGAGGUUAUCUCAUCCAAAUUACUUCAGAAUAUCCAGCAAGCAGCUAGGGCAGACUGGACAUCCUUGGUAUUAGUUAGUUAGCACAGCUGGGGUUCCUUGUUUGCAGGAUUCAGGUGGUGCCGCCCAGGAGUUGCCAGCCUUUCAUUUUUCUCUCAGACAUUUGAGAAUUCCUGAUUAUUUAACUUGAUUUUUAUUUUUGUGCUGUCUGAAACCACCACGAGUGUCCCCCCCGUGCCAGGUCAGAUGAAUGCAAGCAUCCCCAUUGCUUAUGGGUUCUUUCUUUUUCACGCUGGUGUUUUCUCCAUGCAGGAAUCUGCCCCAUGAGGAGCUGAAGGCUGCUGUGGGAUGCACGUAGCACACACUCAGCUGCCAGCAGCACCAUCAGAACUUGGGGAAUCUCCGCUGCAAUACAACCAGAUGCAAAAGGUUGCUGUGCACAGGGCUGCACUGUGCGUGCACUGCGAGAGCCACCAACAGCAUUACGUUGCACUGAUCACUUGAGGCCCAAUUUAGUGAAAUGAGUAAGCGUGUGCAAAAAAAAAAAAUCUUUUUUAAAGUUGAUGGCACAUUGUGUGCUCCUUCAGGAUUCAUUUCUGGCAGUAAAUUAAGCAUGUAUUUAACAUCAAGGAGUUAAGCCUUUAUCUCCAGCCUUACAAUUCUCCUUUGCUACGCCACACAAAAGCAACUUUUCCCCCAGUUUUAUCUUCAAAGUUUGGAAACGUAUUUAGCUCUACAUUACAAUGAUUCUAUUCAUAUUUCAUGAAUUUUUAAGUUCAGACUGUGAGCAUGGACAGCUCAUCACUGACACAUCAGUGAAAUGCUGUGAAAAACAAGCAACAUAUUGUGCUUUUAGCUUAUGAGAUUGCUUUAUGGUUCCCUCAAGGAUAUUAAAAAGAGAUCUUCGCAAGGAUUAUCAAUAAGUAUCUUUCAGGAUCAGCACUUCUGAAGUUUCCAGAACGGCUUCAAAUCUCGACUGAGUUUGGAAAUGAAAGAACCCACUAAGAAACAGCAAAAUCAUAUUUUAAAGCUCAAAUAUUCUUCAGUUUUGCUGCUUUGCAUUUCAGACUCUGGUUAUCACUGUGAAUGCUAAUUCCUACAUCGUUUUCUUAUUGAAGCUAGUUUUAAGUUUCAACUUCUUUAUCAAAAACAGAUAGGGAAAAGAGAAACUUCACUGCAAUUUUGACAAAGCAUUAAAAAAACAUUUUUAAUAAGUGAUUUAAAUACUGGCUUUUUGGAUGAUCAGAAAAGAAUCCCCGUUAGCUUUGCUAUAUUAAACAAGAUACCUGCAUAGCCCAUAUUAUUACAGCACCUAAUCAUCUCACAGCCCUUCACAAUAUUUCAUUUGAGCUAGGAAAUACUGUUACUUCAUGUUACAUGUACAAACAAAAAGGUACCUAAAGACCUUUGGAAAAGGGGCUCUACAUUCCCAAGGAAAUUAAGAGGCAAUAAAUCAACCCUGCCAGGAUCAAACCAAUAGCCUUUAGAACCAGAGCUCUGUUUCACAUCAGCAUGAAAUCAAUGAUAUGAAGUUCAUGUCCCCUUGGUAGGACAUGGGGAAAUGGAACAUUAAGACUGGAAAUAAGGAAAAAAAUUUACGGUAAGGGGGUGGAGGCACUGGCACAGGUUGCCCAGAGAAGCAGCGGUGCGCCAUCCCUGCAGACAGCCAAGGUCAGGCUGGAGGGGCUCUGAGCACUGAUGGAGCUGUGGGUGUCCCUGUGUCCCUGCAGGGAGUGGGACCUGAUGGCAUUUAAGGGUCCCUUCCAACUCAAACCGUUCUAUGAUUGUGUGAUAAGUUCAAGGGUAACCUACAGCCGAUAGCCCCUCCUUCAGCAGUGGAGUACCUCCCUGACAAGGAAAAGAAGGGAAAUAGACAAAUCUCACUAAGCACAAUUUGCAGAGUACCACUGUUCCUAUCAACACUGGAGCAUCCUUUUAUUUGACUGUCAGAAGCAUCUCAGAGCAUGAAAAAAAGAAGUCCGUCUGCUUGGAUACAAACAAACCUUCCAAGGUUCAGUUUUUCUUCCUAAAAGCUCAACUGUGAGUUUUACCUCCAUAGAAGACCUCCUAGAAAUGGAGCAUCCCUGCCCUGCUGCACACUGAUCCUGGCCCUGUGGACUCUCUAGAUGCUGCAGCUCAUGCUUAAGGUCAACUAACCAUCCUAUCCCUUACAUUAAGUCCUCAGUUCUGGAUAAAGGGGAAGACCCAAAGAUUUUUGGAAGCUACAGACUGCUGGGGUGCAACUUGUGGCUCCCCAGGCACAAGCAGGGUGCAGAUGCAGCAGGUGUGCUGAAGAAGCAUCACUCAAAACUCAGCUGCAGUGCAGAUGCAGGUAUCAGUGGAAAACUGGCACCUGCUUUUUCCUCCUUAUCUAAUAGAGCUCUCUUUGUACUGAUGAGAAAAAAAAAAGGCAUCUUGUUAAAUAAAAAGCAAUAAGAAAUUACUGUGAAUUUUACAAGCCAGUGCACACAUACUUGUUACUUUAGGUCUUUUUCCUGUAAUCCUUUUCCAGAUAAUUAAGAUAUCUCUUGCACUGAUUUGUGUUUCAGCUAUGUUCCAGUCAUGCCACGGCAGCUUUCAUCCUACUGUGACUCUGAAUGGUGCUGACCAUCUGGAAGUAGCACACAGUGUUUUAACCUUAAGAAUGCAAACCUCCCAAUAAAGAGAUGACAUCUGUGAAUUUACAAAAUGGCAACGCACCACAGUUCCUAAGGGAGAAAAACUUAUUUCCUCAACUAAUCUCCUUAGAGAGAGAGAGAGAG